AUUGGCAACAGUGACGUCACAGGCGGUACUAAUACUAAAGCAAGGCUGCCUCGGCACUACCUCCUUUAAAUAUUCCUUGCAUAACCACAUAUUCCACAUUCAGACAAUCCCUACAUUCAAAUUGCUCACAUCCAUAAUUUUUCAAUAGCAACGCAGGAGCCGGUGAAAGACCGGAACAAAAAUCCAUUCCUUAUUCGAGCAGUUCUUGCCAAUCUGUCCCACCACCUCCAUAACCAGCAUAAACAAACCAUCGUCAUCAUCAUCAAGUGGUGUUGAACUUCAUCCUACGCCUGGCGGGAUCGGAACUUUGAUUGGCUUCAUUCCAGCGCCAAUUCAAAUAAUGACCAAAAUCGUUUUCAUCCACUCCAUCAGCAACAUCAGCAGCUUCAUCUUCAUCAUCCCCCAUCGCACUAGACUCAUCAAACAGCAACCUGAAUCUUCUAUUGGGUAUCGAUUUUACUCCAACCCCACAGACUCAGAGCUCGAAGACCAACAUUCGCGACGAUGAUCAAAAUUCAUAAGUGAGGUCCUCACCUCUACCAAAGUUUAAUCUGUCUCAGAAGUGGUCGCAAUGAAUCUCGGCAACCCGGCACCAACAUCCCGGUUGCAAGCUUAAAGAAAAGCGUGCCACAGGUUGAUCCCGCUGCUGGAUCGAUUUUAACCGAAGCCUCGUUUAGUCAAAAUCCGGGAUCAACCGGUGUCUGAACCCUUUGAGGAUCAGUCCACUCUCAAGUAGUUCCACAAGAGUUCGAAUGGUUGCAAAAGUUUGUCGAUAGUAUGGACAUGAAAACGUUGAACGGAACCACCCCGCUCGAUGAUAAGUGGAAUGAACUGCAGAAUUUUCUGGUCAAAGACGAAUUCAAGUGACAUGUUAGUGUGGCUCGACUGUUUCGGAAAAAAAUUCGUUCCAUGGAUUGUGUGCCAUACAAUCAAGCCCGGAUAAAGCUACCACAUCCACUGAUACAUAAAUGCAGCAUUUGUUAAGGAACUUGGAUUUGGCAGAAGACAGAUAAUUCUUACGCAGACUCCUCUACAAAAUACCGUAAAUGACUGCUGGUUUGGUCUCAGAAAUCGACAGUUAUCGUUUGCCUGAAUACACCAAAUUGAGAUACUUGACACUUCUUGGCCAACGAAAAUCAACCAGGAGCUUAGCUACAUAGACGUAUCUUUCCGGCUGAUCAAACAGUUUGAUCUGUCGCAAUGCAUCGAACGGGCGCUACGGGCAACAAUUCACGGUUCAGGUGUUCCGCAACGUAACGCUGGUACAGAACAAAUUGUGGCCUAAACUCUACGCCAAGUAUCUGGUAAGGAUUGUCCAGAAUGUGAUUGGGGCCUAUUGGCAGCAGAACCAGGAAUUGAAACAGAUG